rnacentral:rRNA from 1 species
CCUACGGGAGGCAGCAGUAGGGAAUAUUGCACAAUGGGGGAAACCCUGAAGCAGCAACGCCGCGUGGAGGAUGAAGGUUUUCGGGUUGUAAACUCCUUUUGUUAGAGAAGAUAAUGACGGUAUCUAACGAAUAAGCACCGGCUAACUCCGUGCCAGCAGCCGCGGUAAUACGGAGGGUGCAAGCGUUACUCGGAAUCACUGGGCGUAAAGAGCGCGUAGGCGGGAUAGCAAGUGAGCUGUGAAAUCCUAUGGCUUAACCAUAGAACUGCAUGUGAAACUGUUAUGCUAGAGUAUGGGAGAGGUAGGUGGAAUUCUUGGUGUAGGGGUAAAAUCCGUAGAGAUCAAGAGGAAUACUCAUUGCGAAGGCGACUUGCUAGAACGUAACUGACGCUGAUGCGCGAAAGCGUGGGGAGCAAACAGGAUUAGAUACCCUAGUAGUC